ensembl:piRNA 21ur-7338 ncRNA
UCUCAUCUUAAAUUUUCAAAU